rnacentral:rRNA from 1 species
GACGAACGCUGGCGGCGUGCUUAACACAUGCAAGUCGAACGAAGUGGCGAACGGGUGAGUAACGCGUAAUUAACCUGCCCUUCAGAGGGGGACAACAGUUGGAAACGACUGCUAAUACCGCAUACUGAAGGAGGGGAUUGCGUCUGAUUAGCUAGUUGGAGGGGUAACGGCCCACCAAGGCGAAGAUCAGUAGCCGGUCUGAGAGGAGGGACCGGCACAUCGGGAAGGGGGAACGGCCCCGACUCCUACGGGAGGGAACAGUGGGGAAUUUUCCGGAAUGGAGGAAAGGCUUACGGGGCAACGCCGCGUGAGGGAUGACGGCCUUCGGGUUGGAAAGCGCUGUUAAUCGGGACGCGGUACCGGAAUAGAAAGCCACGGCUAACUACGUGCCAGCAGCCGCGGUAAUUC